rnacentral:rRNA from 1 species
AUUGAACGCUGGCGGCAGGCCUAACACAUGCAAGUCGAGCGGAUGAAGGGAGCUUGCUCCUGGAUUCAGCGGCGGACGGGUGAGUAAUGCCUAGGAAUCUGCCUGGUAGUGGGGGAUAACGUCCGGAAACGGGCGCUAAUACCGCAUACGUCCUGAGGGAGAAAGUGGGGGAUCUUCGGACCUCACGCUAUCAGAUGAGCCUAGGUCGGAUUAGCUAGUUGGUGGGGUAAGGGCCUACCAAGGCGACGAUCCGUAACUGGUCUGAGAGGAUGAUCAGUCACACUGGAACUGAGACACGGUCCAGACUCCUACGGGGGGCAGCAGUGGGGAAUAUUGGACAAUGGGCGAAAGCCUGAUCCAGCCAUGCCGCGUGUGUGAAGAAGGUCUUCGGAUUGUAAAGCACUUUAAGUUGGGAGGAAGGGCAGUAAGUUAAUACCUUGCUGUUUUGACGUUACCAACAGAAUAAGCACCGGCUAACUUCGUG